CCUACGGGGGGCAGCAGUGGGGAAUAUUGGGCAAUGGGGGAAACCCUGACCCAGCAACGCCGCGUGAAGGAUGAAGGUCUUCGGAUUGUAAACUUUUGUCUUAUGGGAAGAAAAAAAUGACGGUACCAUAGGAGGAAGCCACGGCUAACUACGUGCCAGCAGCCGCGGUAAUACGUAGGUGGCAAGCGUUAUCCGGAUUUACUGGGUGUAAAGGGCGUGUAGGCGGGCUAUUAAGUCUGAUGUGAAAUACCGAGGCUCAACUUCGGGGCUGCAUUGGAAACUGAUAGUCUUGAGUGCAGGAGAGGGAAGCGGAAUUCCUAGUGUAGCGGUGAAAUGCGUAGAUAUUAGGAGGAACACCAGUGGCGAAGGCGGCUUUCUGGACUGUAACUGACGCUGAGACGCGAAAGCGUGGGGAGCAAACAGGCUUAGAUACCCUAGUAGUC
rnacentral:rRNA from 1 species